ACAAGCUGUGUAUUUUCGAUUAGCUUCUUUGUGUUACGUAAAGAUAUUACAUUGGCGACGAGGAUGGCCAACAAGGGUUUAUCGCCGAUGGAUUUGUCGGGAACUGCUUCGCAAGUAGCUGAGAAGUGGCGGAAAUGGAAGUGUGCCUUCGAAUACUAUGCCGAAGGCGAAGGCAUCGACAACGCUCGCAAGAAGACUUCCCAGCUCCUACAUUUUGCCGGGAUGGAGGUCCAAGACAUCUUUGAAGAUUUGCAAGAUCCUGGUCCCAUUCCCGAGUCAGGAAGCAAGGAAAUUCACCUUUUCAUACCACAUUGAGGGAACUAAACAAUGAAACGAGUGGAGGACAAGAUAGUUGUGAGGGUUAUUCAUUGCAUAACUUAUUUGACAGACAAUGGGAGAUUAGGACCCUCAUUAAUUUAUUUGUCUUCUAUGGUGCCAGUAAAAUACUAACGUAUGAAGCUUUUCUUUUGUUUUGUUUUCCAAGGGGCAUAAUUUAAACCGAAAUAUGAGGGUUAAACCUUUUCCAAUUCUGGGUGUGUGGUUUGAAUGUCCCUGGAUGAUAAUUUGGUUACUAUUUGUACAAGACUAAAUAAAUAAUAAUUGUUACACAUGUCUACUAAAUAAAUGCAAAUUCGCUGAAACCACUAUUUCCUUUUUGAUAAACUGCAACAUUGUUUCAGAUAUAUGUAGAAUAAGAACAAAAUGUUUAUCACCAACACUGUCAAAACCAAAUUGAAUUUGACACCUGCAACUGUCGCUAUUGUUGUUGUAUUUAAAAACUAGUGAAUUAAUUAAUUAAGUUAACUGGUAUGGGUUUUAAUCACUGUUUGAAGAAAAAAGCUUCAACAAACCAAAGCUACCCUUUGUUGUCUUGCAUCAGCAAUACUGCCUCUAAUUGUCGGAGAACAAGAACUUACUAGUACAGUGGAACCCCGAUAUAACGAUAUGCCAAGGGAGCAGUGGAAUUAGAUCGUUGUAUCGAGGUAUCGUUAUAUCCUACUCCCGAUAUAACGAUAUUGCUGUAAAAUAACCAAAAAUAUCGUUAUAUCGGGGUAACAUUACCAUGUACGUUUUUUACUACAUAUUGUUUAAUUAAACUUGUAAUGAGUAUCAAAUCACCCACAAAUGUAGCGUUUCAACACGCGGCAAUGUCCUUAAGCAAUUUGCGAAGCAUAAGACGGUAUCAAGGUUACACAACAAAGUCUGUGGUUCGAAUCGUAAAUAGGGGAAUCGUAAAAAAGGGAAACAAAACAAAACUUAAACAUUUGAAGUUGCGACUGUAA